rnacentral:ribozyme from 13 species
CAUAAAAAAUUUGAAACAAACGAAAGAAAAUGUAAAAUUUCGUGUUCCCCAAAAACAACUUGGUCUGUUCCUCUUGUGUGGUUCUCUUCUCCCCCUCUAAUUCUUUUUCUCCAUCUUUUUC